rnacentral:lncRNA from 1 species
CAGAGCUGAGGCCAGUGCAGGCUCCUCUGCCUCCUACCGCCCAGGGCAAGCUUAGGAGGUGUCCUAAACCUGCCUAAAUUGCCAGGGCAACUGUGAGGCAAUGCACAGAAGCUCACUCGGCCACAGGGUGAUACAGUGGACCCACGCAGAGCCAAGGAAGCUGCACAGGGACAAGGGCUGAUGAUAUUGAAAGUUCAUAUGGAUCAGAAAGUCACAUGAAGAGUUCACACCGAGUCUCAGAGGAGCCAAUGAACAAAAUCUGGGACUAUAAAGACCAUGAAGUCCUUUGAAGAGUGACUAAGCGCAUUGUACACCGAGAUGCACAGGAGCCUGUAGAAACUAAGACAUUUGGAGCAGCAGGAUGCCAUUGAGAAGAGGUUGGGAAUGUUAAAGCUAAGCCAUGUGAACCAAGCUCAUCCCAACAGCUGCCAAAGUGUCUGAAAGUAGAUCCUGGGUCCACCCUUCCCCAUCCCAGCCUUGGAUCUGCUGCUGCUAUGUGAAACGUUUCUGAAAACAGUGACCUAUUUUGUUUGUAAUGCAGUGGCCUCUAGUAUUCUCCUCUCUACUCCUUCAGCCCUUCCACUUCUACAGAUGGCCCUUUACGUGGAGCCUCAGAUACGUACAGCCUGUCUAAAGAAGCCGGGUUCCAGAAGCCUGCCUUGUGGGAGUUCCCUGCCUCUUGGACUGACACUCCCCUGGACUCCGCCCCCUCACAGCAUGAAGCAGCUAGAGCGGUCAUCGUCCCCUUUCCUGACAAUAAUUGGUGUCAAUCUCUGAAGUGGGGAAGGAAGGCAGGUUAGAUGGACAUAGGUAGACUAGGAAAGUGAGAGCAGACUUCCUGACACAAGGCUUCUUAUUCUCAGAAGACACUGUGAGACAGGGUAUGAAAGCUGAAACUAUAGAGGAAGGGAGGACAAAGGGGCCCUAUAAAAUACCUACGCCAGAAGCCUUUUAGAGAAAUUCUAGCCUUUGCUAUCACCUAUCCUCUAGGAAUAAAGCUGUUACUUUUACUGUCU